AGUAAAAUAAGUAACGUUCAAGGGUCAAAAUGAGGAAUUUCUUCCAUUUCCCUCACUAUUAUGCUUUUUGGGAAAUUGUUGGAAAACACACAUUUUUCUCUCAUUCUAUUCUUCCCACAACUAGCUCUGAAGAAUACAACUCGUGCACUAUUCACCAUCUUCCCAAAUUCUCCAAUUUUUAUUCUCUUCCAAAAUUUCCAAAAACACUAGCUCAAUUAACCCCAAUCACAUAUGUUCUAACUUCUUGCAUGCAAGGUUUCACUUCUCAACCCACAAAAAACGAUCAAAUCAUGUUCGGGGUGAAGAAAACAACAACCAGGGGAAAAGGAAAGCUGAAGAGGAAGAAUACUAAGAAGUAGACAACCAUUCUAGUUAACAAAAAAAAAAAAAGAUGAACCAUCUCAUAAAAUUGUCAAGCUAUUUUCAGAGUAUCCAAUGAAGGUAAACUUUUGAGAUCAAGAAUCAAAUUUACCAAGGUUAUCUUUAGUGUUCAACAUAUUACAAGUACAACCAAAUUGUUUAAAGUGAGAGAUGUCAUGCUUUUUAGUUUUCAACAAUUCAUAUGGUGUUUUAUUCAAUAUAUACCUUAUUAAGACUCUAUUUUGAAUAUAACAUGCAGUGUUAAUUGCUUCAUCCCAAAAGUGUUUUGCCACAUUCAUAUCAUUUAACAUGGUUCUAGCCAUUUCUUGGAGUGAUAUAUUGUUUAUUUCUACAACUCCAUUUUGUUGGAGUGUUCUAGGAGAAGAAAAGUUAUGAGAGAUUCCAUUCUCACCAUAAAAACUUCAAAAGAACUUGUUUUCAAUUCUCCUUCAUGAUCACUUCUACUUGUUGCAAUCUUAAGACUCUUUUCAUUCAUUAUUUGUUUGCAAAAUAUGAUAAACACUUUGUGGGAUUCUUUCUUACUUCGUAAAAUUUUUACCCAUGUCCACCUAAUACAAUCAUCUACUAUAACAAAGCCAUAUUUCUUUCCACUUAGAGAGGCUAUUUUCAUUGGCCCAAAGAGAUCUAUAUGUAAGAGUUCAAGGGGCUUUAAGGUAGAGACAAAGUUCUUAGGGGUAAAGGAGUUAUUUGUUUGUUUUCCCUUUUGACAAGUUUCACACAUAAUUUCAGUUUUGUAAUUAAGCUUAGGUAGAUCUCUAAUUGGUUGAAGUGUAUUUAGUUUUGAAAUUAAUCUAAGGUUUGCAUGAUAUAA